rnacentral:rRNA from 1 species
AGAGUUUGAUCCUGGCUCAGGACGAACGCUGGCGGCGUGCUUAACACAUGCAAGUCGAACGAGAGCGUAGAGAAAGCUUGCUUUUUCUACAAUCUAGUGGCAAACGGGUGAGUAACGCGUAAACAACCUGCCCUACGGAUGGGGACAACAGCUGGAAACGGCUGCUAAUACCGAAUACGUUCCGAAAGUCGCAUGACAGUCGGAAGAAAGGAUGGCCUCUAUUUAUAAGCUAUCGCCGGAGGAGGGGUUUGCGUCUGAUUAGCUAGUUGGAGGGGUAACGGCCCACCAAGGCGACGAUCAGUAGCCGGUCUGAGAGGAUGAACGGCCACAUUGGAACUGAGACACGGUCCAGACUCCUACGGGAGGCAGCAGUGGGGAAUCUUCCGCAAUGGGCGAAAGCCUGACGGAGCAACGCCGCGUGAGUGAAGACGGCCUUCGGGUUGUAAAGCUCUGUUAUACGGGACGAAAAGUCUUGUGGUUAAUACCCAUGAGAAGUGACGGUACCGUAAGAGAAAGCCACGGCUAACUACGUGCCAGCAGCCGCGGU